AGAUGAUUCUGUAAUACAGAUAUUUGUGCUCCUAAUUUUUUUUCUACUGUGGGAUUUUCUCUUUUUGAUAAAUUUCUAGGGUUAAGGUUACUAGGUCGAAGAAUUUCAGCCUUUUGAGGCGCUUAGUUAAGUAUAGCCAUUUGGAUCUUCACAUCCCCAACAUCACUAGCAUAGUUCCUGUGUCAUGUUCACUACAGAUGUUCUUAUUGUCUUUUAAGGUUUGCUGAUUAGGAGAUUUAAAAUAACACCUUAAACUUGCUUGAAUUUGCCAUUCUUUCCCCCUCCUAGCGAAGAUGCGUAUUUUGUCAUAUGCUUGUUCUCCUGUGUGACUUGUUCAUUCACUUCCUUUUCUGGUUGUGUUCAUGUUUUUUUCCAGUGCAAAUGUGAAUCAUUAAUUCACUGUAAAUACAAGCUUUGUGUUGAAAAAAAAAUUCAGGUGCAGGGAUCACAACUCUUUCCCAGCCCUGCAGUAGCGAGGCUCUCAUCCGUGCCACUGCAUUUCUGGAGAGGGAGAAAGAGACACCAGUGCUUGCCAUGUGCCAGCUCUGCUGGGGUCACGAUGGCCAAGAGUCUGGACUCUCCACUGGCCUUGCUUUUCAGCUGCUUUUUAUUGUGAGCAGAAAAAUAGAGCGGCUGUCCAUUAUCUCAGCUCUAACAGUGUGCUCACUUCAUUUACAGGGUCUCUCUUACUCCUCAUGUCCCAUACACACACACCUGGUACAGAGCCAGCAUACAGUAGGCAAUUUGUUUUCAUGUGUCAUAGAUCAGGGGUUGGAAUGGACCUUCCCUGACAUUCUUCUGCCUACUCUAGUCCCCUGCACAGCAUCCCUACUCAACUGUUCCUUGAUUACCUCCGGCGAUGGGAGGUUCAGUGUCUCACAAAGACAGACCUUGGGCUCAAGGUGAGAUGGAUCUGGGUUUGAAUUUCUGUUUGACCAGUGGAUAAAAGACUUACUGUUUCUAAACCUUAUUUGCUUCAUUAUCUGAAUAAUCAAUAUUGUAAUAUUACAUCUCUACCUAAUAUAGAUGUGAUGAGGAUUAGAAGAAAUAAUAAAAAUUGAGUCUAGAUCCCUGUUCCUCACACACAGUAGUGUUGAAUAAAUGUUAGUUGUGAAUAUUAUCUCCACUUACUACUACAAGGCAUUUCCUUAAACUUUUGCCAUUACAUCUGAUUUUAUGAAUCCAAAAUAUUUUUUAUAUCCGUUAAUUAGAAUUUUGCUGAAUUGGCAAAGAAGCUGCAGCACCCACAGUGACUUGGAAUUUUGAGUAUAUUCUUCCGUCAUGGAGGUGUUGGAUAGGCAUUGUCUUUGAGCUGAUUCCAGCUUGGGCCAUGAUCCCAGCUGCUGGGCUGGACAGUGCUCUAAUGCAUCCAGGUUGACCCCUUCUUGGUUUUCAGAGUCUGAUUUUACAGACCCCUGGUUUGUCUUUCUUCCCUUUCCUGGCUGGUGUUCCUGCCCUGGCACCCCCAGUAGAGGAUGGACAAAAACAUUUAGAGGAAACAAAACUCUCUUCCACUUAUUAGUUACCUGUUCUCUUCCACAGAAAAUAGCGUACUAAAGGGAGGGCUAAGGUAGAGGUCAUGCUUCCAAGUGCAUAGUCAUAUGCCCAGCCCUAAAUGUUGCUUUGGUAUUGUAGAGUGAGCCAGUACCAGGGUGGUCCGGGCAUUAGUUAGGCUGUACUGACUCUUCUUAUUCCUAGACUUCAGCAUUUCAGUAUUCUUGCUUUAGCUUGCUGAGACUAUCAUUGACGAUCUGAGACCUCCUCAAAGUCUCAUGUGAUUUAAGCAGGUAGCUUUUACCCUCAGGGAACCAGUGUCACUGGUGUUCGUACUAGGUCCACAACUCUUAGGACUGUGAUGUUCGUCUUUGUCUAACCCAGCUCACUGUGCUCUGUAGAGAAUAACUUGGUGGGAACUGCCCCCCACCCCAGCCGCCGUCUCGGGAAGUUCUUCCCAUUAAGUGUCCAUUUCAAUUUUAAAAAUAAAAUAUUAGGGAAUUUAAUGAAUUUCAGAGACAGCGCUGAUGCGUUGGUGAGAAUAAGAUUUUAAGCAGUGGUCUCUGAGGAGCUGGUUGGAGGGGAGGAUUAACAAAAUUUAAAAAGCAAAUCCCGGGUUAUAGGUUAUGUGUGGAGAGGGGUGAUGUUUAAGGUAUUUUAACAGACAGUGUGGACAUGGACCCAAUGGAAGACACUGGAGGCCCCCAGGUGUGCCAGGCACUUACAUGUACUUGUUGUAUACUGAGAAGAUUGGGGGCACUGGAAGAGGGGUGGGAGGUAAGGGAGACAGGCAUUCAGUGGGCUUGGGCCACUGACUCUUUCCAGUUCGUGUGGAAGUAUUUCAGUAUUUGAAACAAGCAGGGUGGCUGUACAAGUGAGGUACUGAUGGGGGCUGGCAGCGUGAGGGGGUGGGAGCAGCAUCUGAAUCACCUUUGACAGGUGUUCAGAGGUGUUAGAUCCAUUCCUUGCUUGCCUUCCUUUAUCUCAGUGCUUAGGGGACCUUUGUGGUGCUGGCCCUGUUGACCUCUUGGUAGGCACUCGGAACGUGUCACAUUAGACUUUAGGGUUCUCUGUUUGGAAAGCACUGAGACACAUUGCUUUAAUUAGAAAACACUACACGUGGCAGGCACCGUCCCUGUCUUCAUGGGGUUCCCAAUCUUCACCAGUGGCUUCAAGUUUUUCCUGCCCCUGGACUCUAGGAAUUUGUCCAUAGGAAAUCAUUACAAGGAUGUUUGCUAUACAGUGAAAAGCUGGGCAAAAUCUAAAUGUCCAGACAUGGGGAAAUAGUCAAAUAAUGGUAUAUCCAUGACAUGGAAUACUAUACCUCUUAAAAUUCAUGAAUACAAAGGAUUUUUCAGGACUCAGAAAAAUGCUGAAUGUAAAAUGUUAGGUGGACAAUAAAAGAACCCGAAACUAUAGGGAAUAAUAAUAAUAAUGUUACUAGUACAAGGAUAUACAUCAAAAUGCAUUGUUAGCACUGACUAUUGUUUGGAGGGCUGUGGGUAAAGUUAAUUUUCUCCUAUGUAUGUUUCUGAAUGUUCCACUUUUUUGGUCAUCUGUGGGUAUUAACUUUAUAAUUAGAAGCGUUCCAUAAAUAUUAUAUUUCUUAAAUCCAGUUUAGAGUUUAACAAGUUAUUUGUAUAAUCAGCGACUGAGUAUUUUGAAUAUAAACUUGGAGAAACACUUUUGGAGGUUGUGUUUAUCGCCUGUAAAGGAAGCUGCUGACUUGGUGGGAUAAAAAUAAGAGCCUAGGUCAGCCUCGCGAUGCGGGGGCCCCAGCUCCCCCGGCUUCCAGACUGCAAGGGUUCCAAGAGGCCCUAAUACGCUUGUUGAAAGGCUCUCCUUGGCUUCUUAUUAAUGUCCCUCGCUGAGCCGUGCUCUGCUCUGCUGGCUAACCUUGUCAGAAGGUUACCCGUGGCUCUCCAGGUCUCAGCUAAUUUUAAACCCAGUGUGCCGGCCAGUGCAGUGGCGUGGCAUUGCGCUGCGGGGAAACGAACACUCCCUGGAAGACACGGCUGGGGAAAGAUGAGCCGAGUCCCUGGGUUUUCCUCCUCCUCCUGUAAGUGACCAGGCACGCUGAACAAGCAAAGAGAGCUGGGAUAAUAAUGAGAGCUUUUAUGGUAAAAAUCAGGACUAUUAAAGAUCUUUUAGCAGUGGCAAUCAAUGCUGUUUGAUAAUUGCACGGUGUGAUGUGUCCUGCAUGAGCUGUGUGAAUUCUGACCACAUGAGCAGGAGCGAGCUGGAUGAGGUCCUCUCUUCCCGGAACUAGACUGACUGUUUUUAAAGCAGAAUGAAACUGCCUCUCAUUUCACUAUUUAUUUGGUGUUCUUCUAAAUUUGUAGAGCUCAAACUCUGCUGGUAGUACGUUCCUUUUCUGAAGUUUUUACUGAUUUGAUUGGGAGAGAGCUAGUUUUUCUUAAAAGCUAAAAAAUAAAACACACAGAAUCUGCCUGUCUGCAUGUCUGUUAGCUGCUGUUGGCUGCCACUAAGAUUGUCAUUUUAAGUACCUCCUUUUUUAAACAUUUGCAAUAGAUAGAGUCCUGUUUAGAUUACUGCUGUGCCAUAUAAUGCUUGUAACCCUGAUAUUUUAACAUGAAACAUAAAUCAGUAACUGCAAAAUAACAUGACAUUGGGGAACCUUUCUCCAUCUAAAUUAACUUAAAAACAACCAACCAACCAACCAGAGAAUCCUUUUUCUCCCCCCUUUUGGAUUUUAUUUUUUUAAAUCUUCUUUCUCUUUUAACACCUUCAGGCUGGGAAUCUAAGGUGCCUAUUAGAGUUAGCCGUCUUCCCCUGCCAGAGCAUUCACAGCGUCUCUCACAUGUAAGAGAUUACAAUGGGAAACUUCACCCACCCGGUUCACUGCCUGGUCUGGGGUUUACCUGCCCAGCUGGAAGAAGGGCAUCUUUCCUAAUAGCUGGGUCCCUAUCUACUCUCUUAUGAAACAGUUGCGAGAAGCCAAUUAAAAAGGCAUAGUGUGUGGAGUAAACCAAGAUGAAAGCACAAUGGAUGGAGAUUCAAUAACCUGCUAACUCCCUGUAGUGAUUGAAGUUAACUUUGUUUGAAGUACCCAGGCUGGGUCAGACCACAUCAAGCCAGCAGUGUUCCUGCAAGAGGAUAGCACAGGAGUGAACUGUAAUUUUAUUUUAGGGAAAAAAAAUACAUAAAUGCUUUUUAUUGGCCUUUUCUGUUUUGAAGGUCUGUCCCUCCUUCACUAGGCCUAAUUAGCUCUGUCAUGUUUGGAUUUAAUUUUGAGAAAAUUAAAGCUGAGUAAUAUCAGGAAUUUGUUGAAUGGGAAUACUUGUUAAAAUCUUCACUGACCCAAAUCUGACUUUUAUAAAUAGUAUUAAAUAAGCAAACUUUAAAAAAACCCCAAACAAAUCCAUCCCCCUCUUGCCUUAAAAUAAUGUUUUUAAAAGCACAUUCAACAUACUUAAGAAUAAUAUAUAAGCUACUCUGGAUUGGAUGCUAAAUGAAUGAGUUAUUGCAGGGGCUGUAGUGGUGAUGUUAGGAGUAUACUUAUGAAUUUAAAGUACAUUUUGUAAAGCCCAGUUCCUCUUCGACACAGACUCAAAUGUCUGCUUUUCUUCUCCUGGUUCUCUCUUUCUCACCUUUCCCCUCCUGCGCUUGGCCUGCACGCCUGCCUGGUGUGGGCCCGCUGUUAUUUUUGUGGUAACCUGACACUUUGGCCAGCAAUCGCAGCCCCCAGGUCCCUGGGGGGUGAACUUGCUGUGAGCUGAAAAGGCAGGCUCCAGAUCUGAUCUCCCAGGUGGAGCAGCUGCUGCAGCAGGGCUGGGGGAUGCCACAGACUGGGGAGGAGGGGUGUGUGUCACCAGUUCAGCCCUCGGAUUAUGGCUUGUCAGGCAACAGGCCCUACCUUGAGAUGGGGGGCCAGUAGAGGCCAGCUAGUCAGGGGUUUUGGAGACUGGAGGAAGGUUUUAAGCUACUACGUUUUUUUCAUUUCAUUCUGUGGGUCUGGUCUAGAGUAUGCCUGAGGCUGUCUUUGUGAUUCCUUAGACAAGGAUGAGUUUCUUAAUAGUCACGAAGAUUGUAUUAAUAUUUUAUGUUAAACUAAAGCGAACAAUUUUAUCAAGCUGGGGUAGGGACGAGGUACAGAAAUGAAUGGGACAGAGCCCCUGUCUUCUGGAAAUCUGCAGUAUAGCAGGAAUGACAGAUAUAUAAGAAGUAGGUAUUAAUUAUAGUUGUGUACGUUAAUUCAGCAAUUAUUUGAGGACCUUCAGCGUGUCAGGCACAGCUCAAGACGUGUGCACACAUACCCACUGAUCUGUAAGCAUACAGAUUAAGUAAUGUAUAUAAUGGUUGCCGAGGAUUGAGACAUCUAUACUUACAUGGAUCAUCUCGUUUAAUCUUUCAACAGGCACCCUUUGGGUCAUUAUUUUUGGGGAGCACUGACUGUGUGCCAGACCUUCAUUAAAUGCCAAGGACAGGAAAAUGACUAAAGGCAUGGACCUAAGCCUUAAAGAUCUCACAAACCCCCAGGGUUGACAGCCACAGAGACGGAUCAUUCCUGUGCAAGUGAAUUUAAGGCAGCUUGCAAGGCUGUAGAAGAGCACAAAUUAAGAAGCAGGGAAAGAAGGAAGAAAAAGAAGAGGAUUGAGGCAGGGACCUCAAAAAGCGGGUUUGGGAAUGAAACCAAACUUGCCAACCAUAUAACCACCGUGCUCUGUCUGAGGGGCCUGCCAGUGGGGCUUAGUGCUCUUUGGCAGUGAGUGAGGAAGCCUAGUCGGGUGAACACGAGGUGAAAAACACGUGGUGUUUUGUUGGUUAUUGAACUUUCCAUUGGGACCUUUGUAAAGAGCAAUCUGUGUAAUGUGAUGAAGGACAUACUCAACUUCUUGGAGUACAUCCAGUGACUAAUUCAUGGGAUGUUUCUGGGUAUGCUGAUGGUAUCACGUAAAAGCAUAAUUCAAUAAAAGCAGUUUAUCUGGAGCUCCUGGAAUACACUUUCUCUCAGAUAACUGUGGAAUCACUAUGGGACUGGAACAGAUAGUUCUACCUGCUGUUCAGUCUGUCCCUCUUUUUUAUCCAGUGUCCUAAUGCAAAAUGCCACUGCCUUUGGUCCUAGAGGUCACACAAGCUCUGUUUCUGCUCCCAAGGAGUUUGAUGAUCAUGUGUUGGGACUCAGAAAAUACUCAUGUAUGAUAUGGGAUCAGUAUCUCUAUGAUCAGAUGCAUUAGAAAUGGGUAUUUAAAGUAAGAUGGGCCAGACCAACACUCACACAAAAAUGUAAACAUAUGAUUUGUGAUGGUUGAGAGGAUGGAAAGGAACAACAUUUGUCGCCGUGUAUUGUGUUCUUGGUUACCCUAAGUUGGCAGGAAAGAGGAGUUUUUUCCUUCUGGGCAUGUUGGAGCCUAAAUUUUGGAUUCUCUGAUGCGGUGAUGAUGAUAGUCUCAUGGAUCCAUUGGGUCUUUAGAGAGCAUUUGAAUGCCACUGUACCCAGCUGAAGACCCUCAGCAGAGCUUGGUCCUCACAGUUCAGCACUUUCAAAUGCCAUCUUUUUCCAGUUUUCCUUGUCGAUUGGCUUAUGACCCAAGCAGAAGUCAGCCCUGGAUUUACCUGUUGCUGCUUUCACCCAGCAUGCUGUGUAAUAAUCCAGGGUAGACGGAGGCAUGGCUAGAAUGGGGGAAGCAUCCUAAAUCAUAGAAACUGGAGAAGGCAGCCCAGGGCCGUUUCUCUGUGUAGAGUGGAGAGGGCCACUCCUAAUGCAGCAGAAUUAGGAUUCCGCAUCAGCCAAAGGAGCUGCAUCCGGGCAGCUCAGCUGCUGGGACUUGGAGUCAGUCCAGAGCCAACACAUCAUUAAGUUGGCCGGCAAUGAGCUGUGUAACACUGAGUGAGUCUCCACCAGCUUUUGUAAGAAGGAUGGUGCCUUAUUACAACAAACCCCCCACCCCAUGUCUCCCCACCCACGUGCCUACAGACUUGUCACCUAGGGAACAGCACCUUGAUUGCAUGAGGCCCAUUUGUUUGGCAUUCCUUCUGACCUGGGGCUGAGAUGGACUCUUUUGCAAUGCUUGUCUUAGGGUCUGACCAAACGCAGCAUAUGUGUUUAUCUGAUGUGCUGGUAGCUUUUAAAAUAUGAACUGUCAGGAUGUCCCUGGUGGUCCAGUAGUUAAGAUGCCGUGCUUCUACUCUAGGGGGCACAGGUUCGAUCCCUGGUUGGGGAACUAAGAUCCUACGGGCCGCACGGUGUGGCCAAAAAUAAAAAAUAAAAAAAGUAAAACUGGGGCUUCCCUGGUGGCACAGUGGUUAGGAAUACACCUGCCAGCACAGGGUACACGGGUUCAAGCCCUGGUCUGGGAGGAUCCCACAUGCCGUGGAUCAACUAAGCCCACGUGCCACAACUACUGAGCCUUGGCUCUAGAGCCCGCGAGCCACAACUAUGAGCCUGAGUGCCACAACUACUGAAGCCCGCGCACCUAGAGCCCGUGCUCCGCAACAAGAGAAGCCACCACAAUGAAGCCCGUGCACUGCAAUGAAGAGUGGCCCCCGCUCCCCGCAACUGGGGAGAGCCUGCGCGCAGCAAUGAAGACAGCCAAAAAUAAAUAAAUUUUAAAAAAAGUAAAAUAAAAUGUGAACUGUCUACUUUUUUUUUUUUUUUUUUAAUUUAUUUAUUUAUUUAUUUUUGGCUGUGUUGGGUCUUCGUUUCUGUGUGAGGGCUUUCUCCAGUUGCGGAGAGCGGGGGCCAUUCUUCAUCGCCAUGCGCAGGCCUCUUACUGUCGUGGCCUCUCUUGUUGCAGACCACAGGCUCCAGACGCGCAGGCUCAGUAGUUGUGGCUCACGGGCCUAGUUGCUCCGCGGCAUGUGGGAUCUUCCCAGACCAGGGCUCGAACCCGUGUCCUUUGCAUUAGCAGGCGGAUUCUCAACCACUGCGCCACCAGGGAAGCCCUGAACUGUCUACUUUUGAUUUUUAAUUUGUACUCAUUGUCGUGUAAAAUUCUGAGGCAUCAUGAUAGGCUGAUGGUGAAUCUCACCACCUAAGAAAGUAACAUUACCCAUGACUUAGUGACUAAGGAGUAUUUUUUUCCUGGUAUUUGUUUUCUUUGUUUAAGCAUUAGGAUUGGUGAGUCUACUUGAAAUGUGUGUUCACUCUACAGACCUUUUGGAAUGGAGGAGUUAGUUUGGGGGAUUUUCUUUGACUGUUAUUCCUGGGAAAGGGCUUAGGAAUGUUCCUUUUGAAAUGCUACUUACUGCUAACUCUUGUGGCAUUUUUUUCUUUUUUCCCUCUUAGAGCAUUAAAGAAGCUUCUGUUUCUGGCUUCGAAACGUGUUUCCCAAGGUUAAACAACCCACCUUCCAGGGAUCCAUGACUUGGGCUACAGGUCAUGUCAUCCAGCUUACGCUCCCCUUACAGGUGCACUGUUCUUGAUAGCAAGUCUUCUCUUGGCAUGGUCAGAUGGCAUAGAUUGCCUGGACCCGAGUGUAUGGCCUUGUCUUUUUGAAGGAGCCUACUGAUGGAGAGCAGUGAUUAAGCUUGCCUGGUGGUGGUGAAGAGGAAAGGAAGAGACAGGAAUUUCUGUUCUUAAUGGCUAACACAUUCAUUAAGGGGAUGGGGAAGGUGAUUCCCUCAAAGGCUGGUAAUACAGAACCACAUGGCAUGAAAUCAAUCAGAGCCUUUCUCGAGCUGUCACCUGGGCAAGUACUUGGAGCUGAUGGAGCAGAGAAUUAAUCAGGGAAUCUCAGGAGGGUAAUGCUAAGACCUCUGAUGGGGUGCUCAGCAUCGGGGUCUUGGUGAAGAGGUACUGGCUUGUUGAUGGAUCCUGUUGAUAGAGAAGUGAUUUUCGAAAAGGAGAAGGUGUAAUUAUCUGCUCCUUCCUGCUGAAAUUAGAGGGAACCUAUUGGCAAUUGGAGUGUAUGACACUAAGGCUCACUGGCUGAUACUGACUGCACAGCAGACGUUCCGUCUCUCUGGAGACUGCCUUCAAAACCAGGCUGCCGAUCCUCACCUGUAUUUCUCAGGCCACUUGUUAGCAAGUUUGGCUAGCCUCUGAAAUGGUAGGAAAAUAACAGCUCUCCCCAUUUACAUAUGCAAAAGCGAUGAACCAUCAUUAGUGUCUGACAUUCCUCCCAAGUACCCAGGGAGGUGAGUCAGUAUCAUAACUAUUCAUUAGGAAUUCAUUAGACUGUGCUUCAUGGUGUCAGUUGUGGACAGAGCUGAGAAUUCAGCACUGCAUACAUUCUCUCCCUUUCGAAUCCAGCCUCCAGCUCACUGUCUAGUGAGGAUGUAGUUUGAGUCCAGUAUUCCCAUGGAAUGUGCAUUCUAUCUGGAGCAAUGACUAUUAAGCAUAUGUGACUUCGGUCAACUUAUUUAGGCCUCUGGACCUCAUAAGGUAGGAAUAAUACCCAGUGCGGGCAGUGCAGUUACUAAAUACGAUCCUGUAGGUCAGCAGUCCCCAACCUUUUCGGCAUUAGGGACUGGUUUCGUGGAAGACAGUUUUUCCACGGACCGGGGUGGGGCGGUGAUGGUUCAGGCGGUAAUGCGAGCGAUGGGGAGCGGUGGGGAGCGGCAGAUGAAGCUUUGCUCUCUCGCUGGCUGCUCACCUCCUGCUAUGUGGCCCAGUUCCUGACAGGCUGUGGACUGGUACUGGUAUGCGGCCCGGGAGUUGGGGACCCCUGUCCUAGAAGACCCAAACCAUAUUUGUCCCUUUAACACAAAGGGCUCUUGGUUGUCUGUAAUCGUGAUUAAUAAAUAAGAAGUUGAAUCAGACAGCUAACUCGUGGUUAUCCAAACUGUGCUUGGCAUAAGUCUGUCCUCUUACAUCUUCUUGGUUUGCUGAUUUCCUUUGGGGCUCUUAUUAUUCAUUAGAACCUUGGCCAGAGUCAGAGUGAGGAAUGGGAAAGGAGCUGAAACUCUGACCGUUCUCAUGGAAAGCUUGGCUGAUAAGUUCAGUCAUGUUGUUAUCAAAGAAUGUUCACAUCAUUUGGUUGUUGGUUCAUUUUUUCUUUCUUUGAAUAUUUAUUAUGCCAAGUACUGUGCUAGCACAGGGGAUAAUGGUGACUGUAGUAGUCCUUGCCCUCAAGGACAUUGGGAUGUGGAUGGGGGGAAUGAUAACAAACCAACUUAAUCUAAGAUCUCUUAUAGGUAGUCUUUGGAAACACAGGUGAUGAAUGAUGAAGUUGGUUUCCUUCAGUGUUAACGGUGGAAACUGAGGCACAUGGCGGAUACUGUGUGGUCCAGGGUUAUUCGGGUAGAGGCAGAGUCCUAACUUCCAGUCCACCUCUUUUCUUGUUGCCUCACAGAGUAUGAAGAUUUUGGCUAAAAUAAGCUUUAUGGAUUUUUUUUUUUUUAGAUCCUCACGUUCAGUGACAUUUCCCUAAUCAUGAGGGUUAGUUAAAACUAAUACUUUUAUUUAAGAGCUCUUAAAUCACCAGUAAGUGGGUGAGAUGCUUACAUUAUGAGAGACCCACAGGAAUUAAUAUAAAGGGAGCAGCGAUUCCUGUGUCCUGUGUCAUACCCCUUGUGCAUACGUUCCUUGGAUAGAGUUGGUGUCAGAAGCACCUGCAUUGACCAUCUAACCUCCUUCUUCCCCUAGACUUUUAAAUCAAAAUAUG